rnacentral:lncRNA from 1 species
AUGAAACAAACCAAGGUCAUGGCAUUUAAAACACUGGCUCAGUGUGUGGUUCUUGGUUGCCCCUGGAUUCUGGGUUUCUUCACUAAUGACAGUGAGGUGCUGGAGAUCCUCUUCCUGAUCUUGAGCUCCCAGCAGGGAACCUUGAUCUUUCUGAUCUACUGUGUCUUCAAUAAUGAGGUCAGAAAUGUACUAACUUUAUAUCUAAAAUCUGGAUAAUAAAUCAUAUUUCAGUUGUUUAUAUCCAGAGAUGUAUAGUAACGAAGUAGAACUACUUCACUACUGUACUUAAGUACUAAAAGGCGGUAUCUCUACUUUACUAGAGUAUUAUUUUUUUCUCCUACUUCCACUUUUACUUCAGUACAUAUUUUCGCUGAGUUUAAUACUUUUACUCUGAUAUUUUUUUUAUGUGCUGCAUCGUUACUCGUUACAAUUAUAAUAAUGUUACGAAUCAUUCCAUUACAAACCACUGCCAGAACUGUAGAUGGCAGGUUUGAUGAAGCUGGCACAUCAUUGAGCGAAUCAAGCGUGACUGAACUGCUGUGAAGAGAGAAAUGAACACCGAGCCGAGCCAGAUAAUAACUCGGUCACGAGUCAAGAACCGGUUCCAUCAGUUCUCGGAUGACCAGUAACGUUAUUUCUUUCUGACAGCUCAUCGGUUCUCGAAUCAGACGCGUCUGACAGAAACGGUUCUUGACUCGUGAACGAGUCUUUAUCUGGCUCGGGUCUGUGUUCAUCUUCAGUUCUCUCUUCACAUCAGUUCAGUCAGUGUACUGUUUGAGUCAAUGAAUUACUCCGGGAUAUUGGUUUGUUUUAACUCAGAGGGAGUGUCAGACACAUUAAUCAAGUUAACAGCUUAAUUCAUCUGUGGAUUAAUGCGUAUUGGAGACGCGAACUGUUUAAAACGAUUCAGUUCGAUUUGGUGAACUGUUUCAAAAAGAUCCGGUUACAUUCGUUCGCGAACCGGAUAUCACAAACUGCUUUGUUUUUAAGUGUCUUACAACAGACACGGAAGAGAAGGCAAUGCUGAAUAAAGUCGUAGUUUUUGCUAUUUUUGGACCAAAAUGUAUUUUCGAUGCUUCAAAAAAUUCUAAAUGACCCUCUGAUGUCUUACGGGUUUGAAACAACAUGAGGGUAAGUUAUUAAUUACAUAAUUUGGCAAAUUGGGCUAACUAACCCUAGUAACCAUUUUUUGUUUACAAGAAGUUACAGUCAAAGGAAUUGUGAUUGUCCUUUAGGUUAAUCAUUGGAAAUAGUAAAAACAAUAUGUUCAAACUUUUGACUACUUUCUUUAAUAGGUACAUAACACAAUUCUUC